ACCCCGCGCCGGUCGAGGAGGCCGGGCGGCUGCUGGCCGCCUCGACCCCGCUGCCCGUGCUCGGGCUGCGGGCGGCGUCC
rnacentral:tRNA from 2 species